ensembl:snRNA U6 U6 spliceosomal RNA
AUGACGUAUUCGAUAUGUCACAUAUACUAAAAUUGGAUAGAUGCAGAUAAGUUUAGCAUGGCCUCUACGAAAAGGAGAACAUGCAAAUCGGUGAAGCGCUCCUUAUUUUU